AGCGUACACGGUGGAUGCCCUGGCAGUCAGAGGCGAUGAAGGACGUGCUAAUCUGCGAUAAGCGUCGGUAAGGUGAUAUGAACCGUUAUAACCGGCGAUUUCCGAAUGGGGAAACCCAGUGUGAUCCGUCACACUAUCAUUAACUGAAUCCAUAGGUUAAUGAGGCGAACCGGGGGAACUGAAACAUCUAAGUACCCCGAGGAAAAGAAAUCAACCGAGAUUCCCCCAGUAGCGGCGAGCGAACGGGGAGGAGCCCAGAGCCUGAAUCAGUAUGUGUGUUAGUGGAAGCGUCUGGAAAGGCGUGCGAUACAGGGUGACAGCCCCGUACACAAAAAUGCACAUGCUGUGAGCUCGAUGAGUAGGGCGGGACACGUGGUAUCCUGUCUGAAUAUGGGGGGACCAUCCUCCAAGGCUAAAUACUCCUGACUGACCGAUAGUGAACCAGUACCGUGAGGGAAAGGCGAAAAGAACCCCGGCGAGGGGAGUGAAAAAGAACCUGAAACCGUGUACGUACAAGCAGUGGGAGCCUCUUUAAUGGGGUGACUGCGUACCUUUUGUAUAAUGGGUCAGCGACUUAUAUUCUGUAGCAAGGUUAACCGAAUAGGGGAGCCGAAGGGAAACCGAGUCUUAACUGGGCGUUAAGUUGCAGGGUAUAGACCCGAAACCCGGUGAUCUAGCCAUGGGCAGGUUGAAGGUUGGGUAACACUAACUGGAGGACCGAACCGACUAAUGUUGAAAAAUUAGCGGAUGACUUGUGGCUGGGGGUGAAAGGCCAAUCAAACCGGGAGAUAGCUGGUUCUCCCCGAAAGCUAUUUAGGUAGCGCCUCGUGAAUUCAUCUCCGGGGGUAGAGCACUGUUUCGGCAAGGGGGUCAUCCCGACUUACCAACCCGAUGCAAACUGCGAAUACCGGAGAAUGUUAUCACGGGAGACACACGGCGGGUGCUAACGUCCGUCGUGAAGAGGGAAACAACCCAGACCGCCAGCUAAGGUCCCAAAGUCAUGGUUAAGUGGGAAACGAUGUGGGAAGGCCCAGACAGCCAGGAUGUUGGCUUAGAAGCAGCCAUCAUUUAAAGAAAGCGUAAUAGCUCACUGAUCGAGUCUUUCUGCGCGGAAGAUGUAACGGGGCUAAGUCAAUAACCGAAGCCGCGGAUUCACACUUGUGUGUGAGUGGUAGGGGAGCGUUCUGUAAGCCUGCGAAGGUGACUCGUAAGGGUUGCUGGAGGUAUCAGAAGUGCGAAUGCUGACAUAAGUAACGAUAAAGCGGGUGAAAAGCCCGCUCGCCGGAAGACCAAGGGUUCCUGUCCAACGUUAAUCGGGGCAGGGUGAGUCGACCCCUAAGGCGAGGCCGAAAGGCGUAGUCGAUGGGAAACAGGUUAAUAUUCCUGUACUUGGUGUUACUGCGAAGGGGGGACGGAGAAGGCUAUGUUGGCCGGGCGACGGUUGUCCCGGUUUAAGCGUGUAGGCUGAUUUUCCAGGCAAAUCCGGAGAAUCAAGGCUGAGGCGUGAUGACGAGGCACUACGGUGCUGAAGCAACAAAUGCCCUGCUUCCAGGAAAAGCCUCUAAGCAUCAGGUAACAUCAAAUCGUACCCCAAACCGACACAGGUGGUCAGGUAGAGAAUACCAAGGCGCUUGAGAGAACUCGGGUGAAGGAACUAGGCAAAAUGGUGCCGUAACUUCGGGAGAAGGCACGCUGAUGGUAGGUGAAGCGACUUGCUCGUGGAGCUGAAAUCAGUCGAAGAUACCAGCUGGCUGCAACUGUUUAUUAAAAACACAGCACUGUGCAAACACGAAAGUGGACGUAUACGGUGUGACGCCUGCCCGGUGCCGGAAGGUUAAUUGAUGGGGUCAGCCGCAAGGCGAAGCUCUUGAUCGAAGCCCCGGUAAACGGCGGCCGUAACUAUAACGGUCCUAAGGUAGCGAAAUUCCUUGUCGGGUAAGUUCCGACCUGCACGAAUGGCAUAAUGAUGGCCAGGCUGUCUCCACCCGAGACUCAGUGAAAUUGAACUCGCUGUGAAGAUGCAGUGUACCCGCGGCAAGACGGAAAGACCCCGUGAACCUUUACUAUAGCUUGACACUGAACAUUGAGCCUUGAUGUGUAGGAUAGGUGGGAGGCUUUGAAGUGUGGACGCCAGUCUGCAUGGAGCCGACCUUGAAAUACCACCCUUUAAUGUUUGAUGUUCUAACGUGGACCCGUGAACCGGGUUGCGGACAGUGUCUGGUGGGUAGUUUGACUGGGGCGGUCUCCUCCUAAAGAGUAACGGAGGAGCACGAAGGUUGGCUAAUCCUGGUCGGACAUCAGGAGGUUAGUGCAAUGGCAUAAGCCAGCUUGACUGCGAGCGUGACGGCGCGAGCAGGUGCGAAAGCAGGUCAUAGUGAUCCGGUGGUUCUGAAUGGAAGGGCCAUCGCUCAACGGAUAAAAGGUAC
rnacentral:rRNA from 1 species